CAUUUCCUCACCUAUUUUCUGGAAAAGAGAAUCUCCGUUGUUUAAUUCCUUGUGCGAUUGACCAGCUGCUCCUGUGAGACUUUAAUUUCAAAAUUUGAACUCACCAUUCCAACUUGGUUGGCCUGUUAAUGGCGAUGAUCCUUGUGGACAACCUUGGAAAGGCAUUUCUUGCUCAGGCAACCGUGUUACAUAGAUGUAUGGUCCCAAUCUUCACUUUAUAUAAUUUGAUCAUUACCUUUAAGCUUUGUUUCUUAAUUUUAAUGACUAUUGUUUGUGACUUGUCAGUAAGUUAUCUAAUCUUGGACUGACUGGGUCGUUGCCUUAUGGAUUUGAAAGUUUGACAUCUUUGAGCGCCCUAGACAUGAGUGGCAACAGUCUUGGCGGCAGCAUACCAUACCAGCUCCCUCCAUAUGUGCAGCGAUUAAAUCUUGCUUAUAAUAAUAUCACAGGGACUGUUCCUUACUCUUUCAAACUUGAACGCUCUUACAAACCUGUGUGUAAUUUUCUUCUUGUAAAUUUAUCAUAGUUGUACUACAUUGACCACCACUACAAACACCUAGAAUAAUUU
rnacentral:sRNA from 1 species